GUUGACGAGUGAUUCAGCACUUCGUCUCUUCUUAGUUAAGUGAUUGAGAGUUCGAUUUCUCAACCUUUAUGAAUGAAAAAAUUGAUCCACCAGUUUCCUACAUGCGCUGACAGUAAAGUGAAAAACUAAACUAAACGCGACGCGAACGCCAGCCAAUAACCACUCUCUCUCUCUCUUUCUCUAAGCAAGCUCAAAGUUUUGACUUUUGCCAUAGCUGCACAGAGCCAUGGCUUCAUGCAGCAUACCCAGAUGGCUCACCGGAGCUACACCCACAUUGUUCCUCCUCAUUGCUGCUUUCAGCAUUUCACAAUCACAAGCUGCUGUUGGGCUCACAACCUCGCAACCAUUCAUUUGGCCUCUGCCGGCGAAGUUCACCUCCGGCAACGGGACCCUUUCCGUUGAUCCUGAACUCUCACUCUCCGGCAACGGUGCUGCCUCUCCCAUUCUCCGAGCUGGUUUCGAGAGAUACAGAGGGAUAGUGUUUGGACACCGUUUUCUCAGAACUGUGAAGGCUGUCUAUGAUGUUACCAAAUUGAGGAUCAAUGUUCGUUCCACGAGUGAGGAGCUUCAACUUGGAGUGGAUGAGAGCUACAACUUGUUCAUAGCUGAACCCAAUGUGCAUUCCGUUGCUGGACAAGUCACGAUUGAGGCAAAUACUGUUUUUGGGGCAUUGCGUGGAUUAGAGACGUUCAGCCAGUUGUGUUCAUUUGAUUAUACAACUAAAAAAGUACAAAUAUACAAGACACCUUGGUCCAUCCGAGAUAAACCGAGAUUUCCAUACCGUGGACUCAUGUUAGAUACAUCCAGGCACUAUUUACCAGUGGAUGUAAUUAAGCAGAUAAUUGAAUCAAUGUCCUAUGCUAAACUUAAUGUUUUACAUUGGCAUAUCAUAGACGAGCAGUCAUUUCCUCUUGAAAUUCCAUCAUAUCCAAAUUUGUGGAAAGGUUCAUACACAGAGUGGGAACGUUACACGGUAGAGGAUGCAUAUGAAAUUGUCAACUUUUCCAAAAUGAGAGGGAUAAAUGUGAUGGCGGAAGUGGAUGUCCCAGGUCAUGGUGAAUCAUGGGGGAUUGGAUAUCCUGAUCUUUGGCCAUCACCCUCCUGUAGGGAGCCACUAGAUGUUUCAAAGCAGUUUACUUUUGAUGUUCUUUCUGGUAUUCUAACAGAUAUGAGAAAAAUAUUCCCAUUUGAACUAUUUCACUUGGGUGGUGAUGAAGUGCAUACAGAUUGCUGGAGCAAUACUUCACAUGUGCAAAAAUGGCUUAGGAAUCACAACUCUACUGCGCAAGAUGCCUAUCAAUAUUUUGUUCUGAAGGCCCAAACCAUAGCUCUUUUGAAAAAUUGGAGUCCUGUAAACUGGGAGGAAACCUUCAAUGCAUUUCCAACUAAGCUCCAUCCGCGGACUGUGGUGCAUAACUGGUUGGGCUCUGGGGUUUGUCCAAAGGCUGUUGCAAAAGGUUUUAGGUGUAUUUUCAGUAACCAAGGGGUCUGGUAUCUUGACCAUAUAGAUGUACCUUGGGAUGUUGUCUAUAAUGCUGAGCCACUAGAAGGAAUACAUAAAGCUUCAGAACAAGAACUUGUACUUGGAGGAGAAGUUUGCAUGUGGGGUGAGAAGGCUGAUACAUCAGACGUUCAGCAAACAAUAUGGCCUCGAGCUGCAGCCGCUGCAGAACGUUUGUGGAGUCCGAGACAUUCAACUUCUGCAGGAAAUAGUAACCAAACUGCAUUACCCCGGUUGCAAUACUUCAGAUGUCUGUUGAAUAGAAGAGGGGUUCCAGCUGCACCUGUCACUAAUUUUUAUGCUAGAGCUUCUCCUGUUGGUCCAGGCUCAUGCUUUGAGCAGUAAUCUUAGCAUGAUUCUCGUGUCCAUGUGUAGACUGUUGUGAUAAAAGUAACUCAUGUUUAUCUACUACGCCUGGCUGAUGUGCUAGAAUUCUUACUUGAUGUUCAACUCUUUGUCAGCUACAGGUUAAUGAAUGUUAGAGCUCUUGUGAAUUGACAAUAGUCAUAUUAAAUUGGGAGAUCAAGAUUGGCUAUGUUCCUCGUGAAGGAAAUGCUCCGGCAAAUUACUUAGCUGGCAUGGGAGUAAGGUUACAGUGCGCUGUUGUUGAUUUAGUUUCUCCUCCUGACGAAGUGUUUUCCCUUCUUCAACAGGAUUUAGUUACUUUGUAGUUUUGCUGUUAGUUUUCCUAUGUAAAAAAAAAAAAAAGUAUUUGUUAAAUUGUUAGAAUAUGUGUUAAUAUCCAUUUGUAAAAAAAAUUUGAAAUACUGAUAUAAGAAAUAUAAAUAAAGUAAAAAUUUAUUUUCUUGCACCUUGUGCCCAAAUUAAUAUCCACUUAUCGAGAGAGUUUCGGCAGGGGAACCCAAGGAAACCUUCCACAUUCCAAAUUUUCAAUGCUAAGGCCUGAGCUUUGGAACCUUCCACAUUCCAAGCUCUUAAUUACUACUACUACAAGUCUACAACUAUUAAAUACUCAAUUUAGUUGCACCUGCCCUAUUUAAUUGUGCAACAGUAACCCCUUUAAUCUGCGCCUAUAAAUAAAUUGAACAUAAUAGCCUCUAAUGUACACAUAGCAAGAGCAAUUCUGAUAUCUAUCUUUCAAUAUGACUUCUUCUUCUACUUCCACUAAAGUGACGAUGAAACUUUUGAUAGACACAAAGAAUCAGAAAGUUCUCUUUGCUGAAGCAUCCAAACCUGUCAUUGACUUUCUCUUCAACUUGCUCUGUCUCCCUAUAGGAACUGUGGUCAGGUUCCUCAACGAGAGAGGCAUGGUGGGUAGCUUAGGAAAUCUCUACCAGAGUGUUGCAAAUCUCGGCGACAACUACAUGGUUCCAAACCAAGGUAAGGAUGUUCUGUUAAAGCCAAAAGCUCUCAUCUCUUCAUCUGAAAUCGCUGGCCUUCUUCCUACAAACGAUGAGGCAGCUAAAGAUAUCAUUGGACCCUCGCUCUUCAUGUGCCUGAGUCGUUGUCACUAUACAGUGACAUAUGAUAGCACAAGUCGUUGUGCUUAUUGCUCGGGAACUAUGAACAAUGGAGUAAGUUAUGUGGGAAAGAAGGUUGCUAAUGAUAUGGGAAGUUCCAUUAAGAAUGGGUUUGUGAAAGAGAUGAUACCUUACAUGGUCAUGGACGAUUUAGUCAUUGAGCCCAUGUCAAUAUCAAACAUUAAUAUAUUACUUAGUAAGUCCAAUGGCAAAGAUGUUGGUGCCUUGCAAGAAAAGGUGGUUCACUUGGGCAUGGAUGAGGGUAUCAAGAUUCUUAAGGCUUCUCUGCAGUCCAAGACUGUUCUGACAAGUGUAUUCGUCAAGAAUAAUUUUGAAUAGGAAGAAAGUGCUAUGACGGAGAAAUUCUUGUUUAUGUUUUAGAAGAACAUCUCAUUUUGGUUUCUUCUAUGUUGGGUUACAUCUUUUUGCUUCUUUAUUCCGAAUGAAUAUUUUUAUUAUUUUCAA